rnacentral:rRNA from 1 species
GACAGAGGAUGCAAGCGUUAUCCGGAAUGAUUGGGCGUAAAGCGUCUGUAGGUGGCUUUUUAAGUCCGCCGUCAAAUCCCAGGGCUCAACCCUGGACAGGCGGUGGAAACUACCAAGCUGGAGUACGGUAGGGGCAGAGGGAAUUCCCGGUGGAGCGGUGAAAUGCGUAGAGAUCGGAAGGAACACCAAAGCGAAGAGACUCUGCUGGGCCGCAACUGACACUGAGAGACGAAAGCGAGGGGAGCAAAUGGG